UAUCUGGGUGAUCCUGCCAGUAGUUAUAUGCUUGUCUCAAAGAUUAAGCCAUGCAUGUCUAAGUACACACGAAUUAAAAGUGAAACCGCAAAAGGCUCAUUAUAUCAGUUAUGGUUCCUUAGAUCGUUAACAGUUACUUGGAUAACUGUGGUAAUUCUAGAGCUAAUACAUGCAAUUAAAACAUGAACCUUAUGGGACAUGUGCUUUUAUUAGGCUAAAACCAAGCGAUCGCAAGAUCGUUAUAUUGGUUGAACUCUAGAUAACAUGCAGAUCGUAUGGUCUUGUACCGACGACAGAUCUUUCAAAUGUCUGCCCUAUCAACUUUUGAUGGUAGUAUCUAGGACUACCAUGGUUGCAACGGGUAACGGGGAAUCAGGGUUCGAUUCCGGAGAGGGAGCCUGAGAAACGGCUACCACAUCUAAGGAAGGCAGCAGGCGCGUAAAUUACCCACUCCCAGCUCGGGGAGGUAGUGACGAAAAAUAACAAUACAGGACUCAUAUCCGAGGCCCUGUAAUUGGAAUGAGUACACUUUAAAUCCUUUAACAAGGACCAAUUGGAGGGCAAGUCUGGUGCCAGCAGCCGCGGUAAUUCCAGCUCCAAUAGCGUAUAUUAAAGUUGUUGCGGUUAAAACGUUCGUAGUUGAACUUGUGCUUCAUACGGGUAGUACAACUUACAAUUGUGGUUAGUACUAUACCUUUAUGUAUGUAAGCGUAUUACCGGUGGAGUUCUUAUAUGUGAUUAAAUACUUGUAUUUUUUCAUAUGUUCCUCCUAUUUAAAAACCUGCACUAGUGCUCUUAAACGAGUGUUAUUGUGGGCCGGUACUAUUACUUUGAACAAAUGAA
rnacentral:ncRNA from 1 species